CAGCCGGAGAUAAAACUAACCAGGACAGAUCUUUGGAGAUAUGCACGACCAGGAACUUGAAGCGUUUGGCUCUCUCCACCACCGUCCCAUCGAUGAAGACAGAUGGUUCGACUGCCCCGACC